rnacentral:lncRNA from 1 species
AAGAAAAGAGAGAAAAAGAGAAGAAGUCACUGCCAGGAUGAUUCAUGUUGGGAAUAGGAUGCCAAACCCCAGAUAAUUGACAAUAGGCUCCCAUGGAAGUCUUCUGUGCAUUUCUGCAAAAAUUUAGGAAACAUUAGGUUUGACACCAUCAUCAUGUUUGCCAAGGCAGCAAAAAUCCCAGCCGGCAAAGCUUCAAGUGUGAUGAAGCGGAACAGCAAGGACAGCACGGAAUGACUGAUCAUUUCAGAAUGCCGUCUAGCGAGAGUUUCCAAUGUGGGAGUUUUCCAUUGUUUUGAAGCAGGAGAAAUAGGGACCGGCUGCUUUGGAAGAAACAUGCUGUAGAGGAAAUGUGGACACAGAGAAACACCAGGGAUGCUCACACGCAGAGGACAGACCACGGGAAGGCACAGCAAGAAUGUGGCCGUCUGCAAGCCAAGGAGAGAAGCCUCAAGAGAAACCAACCUGCCCUUGAUCUUGGACCUCCACCCUCCAGAACUGAUUUAACAUGAAGCAAAAGUGACCUGGAAUCUUUUCUCCUUUUAUUGCCAAAAUGCAAAGAAAAGAGUCUUUAGCUCUCAGAAAAAGACUACAUUUAAGAGUGAAAAUAAGAAAAUGUGGGAGUUUGAGGAAAAGUAUCAUCAGCUGUCAAAUGUCAUGAAUGCGCAGUCUUGGUCAAUGGGCCACAUGACCCAAAACUCAUUAUCCUCCCCAAAGCCACCAAUAUCAAUACAUGCACCAAAUGCAUCGACGCAAUAGUUUUCUACCUUGGCCUGUCAAUGAAGUUAUUGAAACUAAAUUGCCAACUCAUUUCCAUUCUUCUGUUCAAUUUAUCACCCGUUUUGAGAGCUACGCCAAUCAAUUCUAUUACACAUUUUCCUGCAACUCCUCACUUGAUAAUGAAGUAAUCAAAAGAAUCAGGGUUUUACCUAUAAAUAUUAUUUCACUUGAUACUUUAGAUGAAUUUCAGGAUCCUUGCAUGCAGUGUGCCCUUAAUAAGUAAUUGCUGAAUGAAUGAACAAAGUAUUGGGCUGAAUCACAUUAUUGUAUAUAUUCACAAAGUAAUAGAUCAAAUCAUAUUUUUAGUACAGCCAGUCAUGAAUUGAUUCUUAAAAUAAACCCAUGGUGAUCAUUUUAUAAAAGGGAAGACAAUU